AACGAACGCUGGCGGCAGGCUUAACACAUGCAAGUCGAGCGCCCCGAAAGGGGAGCGGCAGACGGGUGAGUAACGCGUGGGAAUGUGCCCUUUGGUCUGGAAUAACUCAGGGAAACUUGAGCUAAUACCGGAUAAGCCCUUCGGGGGAAAGAUUUAUUGCCAUUGGAGCAGCCCGCGUCAGAUUAGCUAGUUGGUGAGGUAAAGGCUCACCAAGGCGAUGAUCUGUAGCUGGUCUGAGAGGACGACCAGCCACACUGGGACUGAGACACGGGCCAGACUCCUACGGGAGGCAGGAGUGGGGAAUAUUGGACAAUGGGGGCAACCCUGAUCCAGCCAUGCCGCGUGAGUGAUGAAGGCCUUAGGGUUGUAAAGCUCUUUUACUCGGGAAGAUAAUGACUGUACCGAGAGAAUAAGCCCCGGCUAACUUCGUGCCAGCAGCCGCCGCGG
rnacentral:rRNA from 1 species